rnacentral:lncRNA from 1 species
UCGAUUAUCUUUAUAUAUAUAUAUAUAUAGAGAGAGUUGAGCUAGAAUACUCUCAAAAGCAGCAAGGGGAUGGUACUUUUGAGUUUUUUAACCAUUGGAUUGAGAGAUGUAGGAUUGAGAUGAUAGUGGCAGGUGGUGGUAGGUAGAAUAGUGUUUGACCCAAGGGGUAUUAGUAAUUAAGGAGUAGAUCCAAGGGCUAAAAACUUAGAAGUAUCAAGGGGUUGUGCUUCUAAAAGUAUUCUAACUCAAUUAUAUAUAUAUAUAGAGUCCAGCUACUAUACUAUCAGUAGUACGGGGCCUCCCGUGCUACCAAGUUGUUUUUGAUGAUGCGGCUUCCAAAUCGACGAUCGGCUCCAUUAGACUUGAUCUACAAUAUUAAAAGUAUUUGGAAACUAAAUUUCAUAAUUUUUCGAUAUUAUUUGACUAGUGAUUAAAAGAUCUCAAAAUUAA